rnacentral:rRNA from 1 species
AAUCAACGCUGGCGGCGUGCCUCAGACAUGCAAGUCGAACGAUUAAAGCUCCCUUCGGGGAGUGCAUAAAGUGGCGCACGGGCGAGUAACACGUAAGUAACCUACCCUCGAGUGGGGAAUAACGUCCGGAAACGGACGCUAAUACCGCAUAAUGCAGCGGCACCGCAAGGUGACAGUCGCUAAAGAUUUAUCGCUUGAGGAGGAGCUUGCGGCAGAUUAGCUAGUUGGUAAGGUAAUGGCUUACCAAGGCCGCGAUCUGUGACCGGUCUAAGAGGCCGGUCGGUCACACUGACACUGAAUAACGGGUCAGACUCCUACGGGAGGCAGCAGUCGGGAAUUUUGGGUAAUGGGCGAAAGCCUGACCCAGCAACGCCGCGUGAAGGAUGAAGUAUUUCGGUAUGUAAACUUCGAAAGAAUGGGAAGAAUAAAUGACGGUACCAUUUAUAAGCUCCGGCUAACUACGUGCCAGCAGCCGCCGUAACAC